rnacentral:rRNA from 1 species
GCAAGCUAGCGAUAGUGAGCGAAUCCCAAAAAGCGCGUCGUAGUCCGGAUCGGAGUCUGCAACUCGACUCCGUGAAGUCGGAAUCGCUAGUAAUCGCGAAUCAGAAUGUCGCGGUGAAUACGUUCCCGGGCCUUGUACACACCGCCCGUCACACCAUGGGAGUGGGUUGCACCAGAAGUAGAUAGCUUAACCUUCGGGAGGGCGUUUACCACGGUGUGAUUCAUGACUGGGGUGAAGUCGUAACAAGGUAACCCUAGGGGAACCUGGGGUUGGAUCACCUCCUUACCUUAA